rnacentral:rRNA from 1 species
GACGAACGCUGGCGGCGUGCCUAACACAUGCAAGUCGAACGGUAAGGCCCUUCGGGGUACACGAGUGGCGAACGGGUGAGUAACGCGUGGGUGAUCUGCCCUGCACUUCGGGAUAAGCCUGGGAAACUGGGUCUAAUACCGGAUAGGACCACUGCCUGCAUGGGUGGUGGUGGAAAGCUUUUGCGGUGUGGGAUGGGCCAGCGGCCUAUCAGCUUGUUGGCGGGGUGAUGGCCUACCAAGGCGACGACGGGUAGCCGGCCUGUGAGGGUGACCGGCCACACUGGGACGGCGAUACGGCCCAGACUCCGACGGGAGGCAGCAGUGGGGAAUAUUGCACAAUGGGCGCAAGCCUGAUGCAGCGACGCCGCGUGAGGGAUGACGGCCUUCGGGUUGUAAACCUCUUUCAGCACCGACGAAGCGCAAGUGACGGUAGGUGCAGAAGAAGGACCGGCCAACUACGUGCCAGCCGCCGCGGUAACAC